UACGUAGGGUGCAAGCGUUGUCCGGAAUCAUUGGGCGUAAAGAGCGCGUAGGCGGUCCGGUAAGUCCGCUCUGAAAGUCCGGGGCUCAACCCCGGGAGGCGGGCGGAUACUGUCGGGCUAGAGUCCGGAAGAGGCGAGUGGAAUUCCUGGUGUAGCGGUGAAAUGCGCAGAUAUCAGGAGGAACACCGAUGGCGAAGGCAGCUCGCUGGGACGGUACUGACGCUGAGGCGCGAAAGCGUGGGGAGCAAACAGG
rnacentral:rRNA from 1 species